UGGACUGUCAUUUUUAACUACAGCUGUUUAUGCUAUUAUAUACCAUUGUGACCCUUUAUUUUAUUUUUGUGUGUUGACAUGCACUAUCACAUUUACAAAUUUUGGGGUUCAGAUUUUUAUUUAAGAUCAAAACGUAAUGUUUUAGUAUUAAGUACAAAGUGCAAAGUCUUUUAGGUAAGAUAUUUGUCAAUAGUUUCACCAAUCGUUCUGCCUAUUCACUGUAAGUAAUACAACUAGCAGUUAAAAUAAUUAAA